rnacentral:rRNA from 1 species
AGUGAACGCUGGCGGUAGGCCUAACACAUGCAAGUCGAACGGCAGCACAGUAAGAGCUUGCUCUUACGGGUGGCGAGUGGCGGACGGGUGAGGGAUACAUCGGAAUCUACUUUUUCGUGGGGGAUAACGUAGGGAAACUUACGCUAAUACCGCAUACGACCUACGGGGGAAAGCAGGGGAACUUCGGACCUUGCGCGAUUGAAUGAGCCGAUGUCGGAUUAGCUAGUUGGCGGGGUAAAGGCCCACCAAGGCGACGAUCCGUAGCUGGUCUGAGAGGAUGAUCAGCCACACUGGAACUGAGACACGGUCCAGACUCCUACGGGAGGCAGCAGUGGGGAAUAUUGGACAAUGGGCGCAAGCCUGAUCCAGCCAUACCGCGUGGGUGAAGAAGGCCUUCGGGUUGUAAAGCCCUUUUGUUGGGAAAGAAAAGCAGCAGGUUAAUACCCCGCUGUUCUGACGGUACCCAAAGAAUAAGCACCGGCUAACUUCGUG